AUAAGCGGAGGAAAAGAAACUAACAAGGAUUCCCCUAGUAACGGCGAGUGAAGAGGGAAAAGCUCAAAUUUUGAAUCUGGUGCCUUUGGUGCCCGAGUUGUAAUCUAGAGAAGUGUUUUCUGCCUUGGACCACACAUAAAUUUCCUGGAAUGGGAUGUCAUAGAGGGUGAGAAUCCCGUUUGUGGUGUGGACUACCUGGGCUCUGUGAUACACUCUCAACGAGUCGAGUUGUUUGGGAAUGCAGCUCAAAAUGGGUGGUAAAUUCCAUCUAAAGCUAAAUAUUGGCGAGAGACCGAUAGCGMACAAGUMCCGUGAGGGAAAGAUGAAAAGCACUUUGGAAAGAGAGUGAAACAGUACGUGAAAUUGUUGAAAGGGAAGCGUUUGAAGUCAGUCACAUUGGUCAGAAUUCAGCCUGGCUUAUGCCUGGUGUACUUUCUGGCAAAUGGGUCAGCGUCAAUUUUGACCAAGGGAAAAAGGCUUGAGGAAGGUGGCUGUCUUCGGGACAGUGUUWUAGCCUACUUGUUGUAAUGCUUGGUUGGGAUUGAGGAUCGCAGCACGCCUUAUGGCCGGGGUUCGCGCCCUCGGU
rnacentral:rRNA from 1 species